GGAGGGUAUUUUGGGGAGUUGCAGUGUUGUGCGGAAGAUCAUGUCUGUGCCCUGUGGUGCUGUCAGCGGUGACAGAUCCCAGAUGCAGCCGCUACUGUACGGCAGAUUGAGUUUCUCAGCAGAAAACUCUCUCCCUCCCUCCCAAACGUCUUCAAAAAACAUCUCCAGAUACUGCGGGUCACUUCGGCUCAAACAGGGAGAGAAAGGGGGGAGAAAAAAAAAGGCUUUCCCUCUCCCCCUCCCUUUCACUUCCUCCCGCCGGAUCUCUCUGGGGUGCGGCUGGGGAGGGGGGGGGGGAUGACCGGGCCCUUCCCCACCCGGGGAUCCAGGUCUCCCCUCGCGCCCCUAGCCCGCCGCGAGCACACCGCCGAGCACGGGGAGCCUCGUCCAGGAGAAGCCUGUCUUUUUAUCUCGGGGUUCCUCGGAACCGCUGGCCGAGCCGGACACUGCGGCCGCUCCCGCCCUGCCCGGCUGAUGGCAGCGCAGCCGCCGCCGGUGCCUUUCCUCGCCGCCGGCCACGGGGGCACCGCUCGGGGCGCGGCUCCGUGACGAGGAGGAUUUCUAUUAAUUUUUCCCAGAAGAGGAUUUUUCUCUUUGUGCCUUUUGCCCAAGCCAGGCCCACAAGCACAAGUGGAUUGAACGAGUCCUGCACUGCAGUAUUUACUCUGUAGCAAAACUUCCUUUGAGGAGCAUUCUGCAAACCUAAGGACUGAGGAGCCAGGACUGGGAGCUAGGGAAAGGACAUGAACGAUUUCCUUCAUAGCUGGUUUAGAAAAAGCCGGCUGCUUUCUACAGUCACGCCAAAACUAAGAGGAGAUGGUCUGAGGUUAAGAAACACGCGGGAUAAUUUUCAUACCAAAUGUGAAAAAUGCAAAAUUGCUUUAACAUAUAGUAACUUGCCAUAAAAAUGAUAUGUGUUCCCUUCCAGCUUUAAAAGGAGACUUUAAAAACUGUACUGUCUUUGAUUUGUAGGGCAACUUCAUAUUUAUUUUUUUAAUUCACAAGUUUGUGAGAAAACAUAAUGAAACCCUUGAUGUUUUUAUGAUCUUGAUUAGUGCUUCAUUGUAUAAGUAUUUGGUUAUUGAAACACACACUAAAUAUUGCACUGUAAAAUCUGUUGCAACUUAUUCAAUAUCUUUUGGAAUUAAUAGAAAAAAAUUGCAGGACUGCAAAAAUGGUAUUAAUUUUAAUUUUAUUUCAUUUAAUAAAAAACUCACUUGACUGCACAGUCUUUUUCUUUAUUUUCUCACUUAUUGUGUGUAUAUUUGAAGAAAAAUGUCUGUUGCAUAUCAUCUAUCUAACACGAAAAACUGAUGCUGUUAUUAAUAAGUUACUGAGAAAAAUAAACCAGUUUGCACUUCAAUUUCUAUCACUCCUGGUGAGUGAUUCUUUUGGAAUAAACAUAGCUCUAACACAUGUAAACAACACAGGAAAUUAAUAACAAAAUUUUUUGGAUUUAUUUCAGAUGCUGCAUACUUUAUGUAAAUAUAUGUGGCUUUCAAUUUCAAUGAUUUUCCAGUAAGUAAUAAACUUUGCUCAUUAACCUCC